rnacentral:piRNA from 1 species
UAGAAUCUUUAUCUUUUCCUCCCAGACCAA